CAUUAAAGCAUCAACACUUCACUCCUCCUAUAUAAAUCUCUCCUUUGUGUCUUUUAAUUUCACAUUAUGUUUUUCUUUUAUACUUGCUCUGUCAUCUGUCUAAGCUCACUCUUUAUCUCUCUCUAGAAUUUCAUUUCUCUUUAUAGAGAUUAGGGUUUUCUUAUUUUUUCCGAUCUUUAAUUUCAUUUGAAAGCUUCAAAUUAAUUCAAGGUUUCUUUCUGGUUGACUAUGGUUUUAAGUGUUGUAGAGAAGGAUGAUGCAUUUUAGCUCAGAUGAAAGCUAACGUCAGUGGCGUAACAUCACCGACGACAGGUAAGGGUAAUACUCUAUUUCUCUCUCCAUCUCCCCAUUUCAUUUCUUGGUCUUCUUUUAUCUCCCCUUCUAGCUCUUUCCCAAACUCCCAACUGCCAGUCACUGGAACUCCGACGGCGGCGUGGACCUUUAAUGUUUUCUUCUCCGACGAUAUUAGGAGAACCAUCUUGAUGGUCGACGAUGGUGAUGGCGAUUUUCCCAGAACUCAGAAUAAAUCUGUUUCGGCAAUUCUUCGAGCGAUGUUGCCAGAUGAUGGAGAGUCUGGUGAACCACUUCUACGUUGCCCAAUGAAUUCUAACCUUAAACUUUAUUUUUAUCGUGAUAUUUUCAAUAUCUUUCCAUGCUUAGAAUUUGUGUGGAUUAAUCUAUUUGUUUAUUUGGUGCCUAGUAUCGAUUGUUCUAUGAAUUUCGGUGGUUUUCUGUGUCUUGUGGUGCCUGUUAUUGAUUGUGUUAUUUUUUUACCAUUGGUGCUUGUGGUUAUUUGUUGAGUAGUUUUGUUGUGAGAUGGCUAUUUUGUCUAUUGCAUCUAUUGGUAUUGACUAUUUAUUUGCGUUUUGUGCUGUGAGUGUGUCUUUUAUAGCUAUAGCUGUUUUUUGCCUUCACUGUACUUUUUAUGAGUAGUGGCUUGGGUGACUUAUAGUGGAAUAGGGUCAUGUCUUGGGGGUUAGGGGUAGGAUUGAGAACUAGUGUUGGGUUAAGUCCGAGUUGUGGAGUACGAGGUAUUAAGGGAGGGGAUAAGAAUGUUGAUAGGUUAAUGGUAGGAUCGUGGAACAUAAGAACCCUGCAGAGGAAGUUCAUAGAACUGGUUAAGAUUCUUAGGAAGAGAAGAAUUAAUAUUGUGUAUAUUUAGGAGUCCAAGUGGGUAGGUUCAAAGUCUCAGAAUGUGGAUGGGUACAAGUUGUGGUACUCAGGUAGUGAAAGGCAUAGGAAUGGCGUAGGUAUGUUAGUUGACGAGGAGCUUAGAGAGCAUGUAGUGGAGGUUAAAAGGGUUAAUUAUAGGGUGAUGAAUAUCAAGUGGGUAGGUCUUCGCAUUACUUAGAUAGUGCAUAUGUGCCACAGGUGGGCCUGAGCGAAGAGGAGAAGAAGAAUUUUUGGGAGAUUUUGGAUGAGGUGGUUAGAGGUGUGCCUAAUUCGGAGAAAAUUUUCAUUAGUGGGGAUUUUAAUGGGCACAUCGGGUCAUUGCCAUUAGGGUAUGAUGACGUCCAUAAAGGGUUUGGGUUCGAGGUUAGAAAUGAUGAGAGAGCUGCUUUUUUGGAUUUUGUGAGGGCCUUAGGAUUGGUGGUAGUGAAUUCCAGUUUCCCAAAGAAAGAAGAACAUCUGGUUACUUUCUGUAGUAGUUUAGCCAGGACCUAAAUUGACUUUUUGCUGCUUAAGAAGGGGGAUAGAAAUUUGUGUAAGGAUUAUAAGGUUAUCCAAAGUGAGAAUAUGGUGACCCAGCAUAGACUCCUGGUGAUGGACUUGGUUAUCAAAAAGGUAAAGAAGAGGUGGGGUGGGAAAGGUAGGGUGCCUUGACUCUAGUUAGUGCUUUGGAGAUAGGGGCGAAGUUAGAAGGGAUGGGGGUUUGGGAGUGUAGUGGGGAUACGGAUAGUAUGUAGGAUAGGGUUGUGGGUUGUAUCAAAGAUUCUACUAAAGAGGUGUUGGGUGUCUCAAGAGGCUGGUCUGGCAAGUAUCAGGAGGAUUGGUGGUGGAAUGAAGAUAUUAAGAAGAAGGUGGAGAUGAAAAAGGCGGCUUAUGCUAAGCUAGUUGAGAGUAAGGAUGAUAAGGAAAAGUGGGUAAGUAGGGAGAAGUACAAGUUAGCUAAGAAGGAGGCUAAGUUAGCAGUUACGGCUUCUAAGACAACAACCUUUGAGAGUUUGUAUGAGGGGGUAGAAGAGAAAAGUGGGGAGAAAAGGUUAUUUAGGCUGGCCAAGACUAAGGAGCGGAAGGGUAGGGAUUUGGACCAAGUGAAGUGCAUUAAGGGGAAGGAUGACAGAGUAUUGGUGGAGGAUGUCCUCAUUAAGGAAAGAUGACAGUCUUAUUUUCAUAAGCUCUUGAAUGAGAAGAGGGACAGAGGUAUUAUGUUAGGGAAGUUGGAGCACUCCGGGGAGCGUUGCGAUUUUAGCUAUUGUCGAUGUUUUAAUGUUGAAGAGGUAAGAGAGGCUAUCCGCAAAAUGCGAAGGGGUAGGGUAACAGGGCCCGACGAGAUCCCGGUGGAUUUUUGGAAGUUUUUCUGGUGGGGUAGGGUUAAGGUGGCUGGCCAACUUGUUCAACAAUAUUUUCAAGUCCACAAAGAUGCCUGAGGCGUGGAGAUAAAGCACGAUGAUUCCUUUAUAUAAGAACAAGGGUGACAUUCAGAGUUGCAACAACUAUCGGAGUGUUAAGUUGUUGAGUCACACAAUGAAGAUUUGGGAAAGGGUGGUGGUACUGACGCUGAGGAAGAUUGUGUCUAUUUCUGAGAAUUAAUUUAGGUUUAUGCCUAGUCACUCUACAACUAAGGUAAUUUACCUAGUACGGAGACUGGUAGAGCAGUAUAGAGAGAGGAAGAGGGAUUUGCACAUGGUGUUUAUUGACUUAGAAAAGGCGUAUGAUAAGGUCUCUAUGGAGGUUCUUUGGAGAUGCUUGGAGGCGAGGGGGGUCCCUAUGGCGUACAUUCGAGUGGUUAAGGACAUGUAUAAGGGGGCAAACACUAGGGUGAAGAUGGUAGGAGGCGAUUCUGAGCAUUUUCCAGUUUUGACAGGGUUACACCAGGGAUCAACUCUUAUCUCUUUUUUAUUCUCUUUGGUGAUAGAUGUGUUGACAUAGAGUAUACAAAGCGAGGUGCCUUGGUGUAUGCUUUUUGCGAAUAAUGUAGUUUUGAUUGAUGAGUCCCGAUAAGGUGUUACUGAUAAGCUGGGGGUUUAGAGACAAACCCUGGAGUCUAAAGGUUUCUGGUUGAGUAGGACCAAGAUGGAGUACUUGGAAUGCAAGUUUGGUGACUCAAGGCAAGAAGACGAGGUGGUAGUGAAGUUGGAUUCCCAAAUAGUUUGUAAGAGAGAUAGUCUAUUGUGUAUCUUGGAUUGACGAUUCAAGAGAAUAAAGAAAUAGAUGAGGAUGUCCCUCACUGUAUUAGGGGAGGUUAGAUGAAAUGGAGGCUCGCUUCAGGAAUUUUAUGCGAUAAGAAAGUGCCCCCCAAGCUGAAGGAAAAAUUCUAUAGAGUUGCAGUCAAGCCGGCUAUGUUAUAUGGAGCUGAGUUUUGGCAGUUAUGAAUUCUCAUAUCCAAAAAUUGAAGGAGGUGGAAAUGAGGAUGUUGCAUUGGAUGUGUGGUUUUACUAGGGCUGACAGAAUUAGGAAUGAAAUUAUUUGGGAGAAGGUAGGAGUGGUGUAAGUGGAGCAUAAAAUGCGGGAAGUUAGGUUGAGAUGGUUUAGCCAUGUGAUGAGGAGGGGCGCGGAUGCCCCAGUUCGUAGGUGUGAGAGGUUGUCCUUGGAUGGUUUCAAGCGGGGUAGGGGUAAACUUAAGAAAUACUGGAGAGAAGUGAUUAGAUAUGACAUGGAGCAGUUACAGUUGACUGAGGACAUGACCCUGAAUAGGAAGGUAUGGAGAAAAAAUAUUAGGAUAGAAGGUUAAGGUGGGUGGAUAAGUUGUAGUCAGUAGGUAAGAGGGCUUGGGUGUCUUUUGUUUGGCAGUGUUGCAUAUUUUUGUGGAUGGCGUAUCUAUGUUUUUAUCGAGUUCCAUACUUAUGAUGUUUUUAUAUACUAUCCUUUUUCUUGAGUCGGGGAUCUAUCGAAACAGCCUCUCUACUUCGUUAGAGGUAGUGGUAUGAUCUGCGUACACUCUACCCUCCCCAAACCCCCCGAUGUGGGAAUCUAUUGGGUUUGUUGCUGUUGUAGUUUAAGUAAAUUUGCUCAUUGGUUUGAACUUAAUUGUCAUAUCUUAUAAUAAUUUUUUCUUAUACUUCUUUUCUGGGUUUUAUUUUUUUAUGAUUUUAGUGUGGUUUUGAUUAAAUCUAUGAGUUUUAUCCAAUAAGGUUUAUCGUUCGGGUGUAUCAAAAUACUUGUUGCAGGAAAAAUCUAAUUGACUUUUGAGUUAUUUAUGGAUGAACUUUACUUAGACAUGAUAUGAAUUUAAAAGAGUUUGAUUGUGUUAUAAUCAUCUUUUGGAAAAUUUAAAAUUUUUCAUGAGGCUUCAUCUUUCUUACCUUUUAAAAUUAAGUAAAUAAGUUUAGGAAACCACUAACAUAACUUAAAAUUAAUUGUCAUGUUUAAGGUUCAUUAAGCUUGUUCACGCACUUGAGUAAUGCUUUCUGAUUGAAUGAUAGGAUGAUGAAAAACACUAAUUCGAAAAUUAAGAUGUAGUUUAGCUCAUAAAGACUUUCACAUUUAAUUCACUAAAUGGAGCGUAUAUAUUAAUGUGUUUUAAUCAUAUCAUUACCAUUACAUUUAAUAUAUUAGCUUUGUAUCAUUUAACUUUGAAUUUACCGAUGCAUACAAAUUAAACACAUGUAGAUCCAUAUAUAUCUUUGAAGAUAUGUCCGCGUUUCAAUGGCGGCAUUAGUUGAAGGAGUUUAUCAUGAGACAACUAUAUCAAUAUCUUCAGGAUCAAAGUUCGUGCUUAAUGGACUAUCUAUUAAUUUUAAUUUUCCAUUGCCAAUGAUAGUGAAUGGUAGGCGCUGUCGGCAUUUCUCGAUAUGAUUAGUCUCAUGUUUUAAUCUUGUAUACACGGAACUUGUUUUUACUUUUUUAUUUACCCUUCUUUUCACUUCAAUUAAAUCAUCUUAAAUUAAUCUUAAAUGUUAACUACAACAUUUAUUUCAAAAUGUGUAUGUAUGUACUGACAAUCUCUAGUUGAAUGCAUAUUUCUCCGGUUGAAUGUG